GGCUACCAUGCAAGUUCGAGCGCACCCUUCGGGGCGAGCGGCGGACGGGUUAGUAAGCCGUGGGAAUGUACCCUUCUCUAUGGAAUAGCCUCGGGAAACUGAGAGUAAUACCAUAUACGCCCUUCGGGGGAAAGAUUUAUCGGAGAAGGAUCAGCCCGCGUAAGAUUAGAUAGUUGGUGGGGUAAUGGCCUACCAAGUCUACGAUCUUUAGCUGGUUUUAGAGGAUGAUCAGCAACACUGGGACUGAGACACGGCCCAGACUCCUACGGGAGGCAGCAGUGGGGAAUCUUAGACAAUGGGCGCAAGCCUGAUCUAGCCAUGCCGCGUGUGUGAUGAAGGCCUUAGGGUCGUAAAGCACUUUCGCCAGGGAUGAUAAUGACAGUACCUGGUAAAGAAACCCCGGCUAACUCCGUGCCAGCAGCCGCGGUAAUACGGAGGGGGUUAGCGUUGUUCGGAAUUACUGGGCGUAAAGCGCACGUAGGCGGAUCAGAAAGUUGGGGGUGAAAUCCCAGGGCUCA
rnacentral:rRNA from 1 species